UACGUAGGGCGCAAGCGUUAUCCGGAAUUAUUGGGCGUAAAGAGCUCGUAGGCGGUGUGUCGCGUCGGCCGUGAAAACCUGCAGCUUAACUGUGGGCUUGCGGUCGAUACGGGCAUCACUGGAGUUCGGCAGGGGAGACUGGAAUUCCUGGUGUAGCGGUGAAAUGCGCAGAUAUCAGGAGGAACACCGGUGGCGAAGGCGGGUCUCUGGGCAACAACUGACGCUGAGGAGCGAAAGCGUGGGGAGCGAACAGG
rnacentral:rRNA from 1 species